GGUUUCAUACGAUCACCGAAGUUAAGCCAACGUUGUGCCUGGUCAGUACCUUGAUGGGUGACCGCUUGGGCGUACCAGAUGUUGUAAG